AACGAACGCUGGCGGCAUGCCUAACACAUGCAAGUCGAGCGAGAAGGUGUAGCAAUACACUUGUAAAGCGGCGAACGGGUGAGGAAUGCAUGGGUAACCUACCCUCGAGUGGGGAAUAACUAGCCGAAAGGUUAGCUAAUACCGCAUACGUUUCCGGAACUUCGGUUUCGGAAAGAAAGCAAUACCGUGGGUAUUGCGCUCCUGGAUGGGCUCAUGUCCUAUCAGCUUGUUGGUGAGGUAACGGCUCACCAAGGCUUCGACGGGUAGCUGGUCUGAGAGGACGAUCAGCCACACUGGCACUGCGACACGGGCCAGACUCCUACGGGAGGCAGCAGUAAGGAAUAUUGCGCAAUGGACGAAAGUCUGACGCAGCGACGCCGCGUGGGGGAUGAAGGUCUUCGGAUUGUAAACCCCUUUCGGGAGGGAAGAUGGGAGUGGGGUAACCACUUGGACGGUACUCCAGAAGCAGCCACGGCUAACUUCGUGCCAGCAGCCGCGGUAA
rnacentral:rRNA from 1 species